UCCAUUUGUUCUUGAAUGUGCUGAGGUGAACUGCUUGUGUUAAGAUAUGCAUCUGCACAGUCACGUACAAUAUGCAGUGGCUCAAUCAAUAAUGUUCUAUAAUGCACAAUACAUAUGCCUGCUUCUAUUGAACAUAAGUGCUGUCUGCUUCAUGUUGACCUUUGGAUGGUUGGAGCUGAGGGUGAGAAGGAAGCAGCAAAACCUGAGCGCAGGUAAAUUCAACCUAUUCUGACGGCCCUAAUUAAACUCCCUUAAGCUUUGAGGUGCUGUACUACUGUACCUGAGUGUUUACCUCCUGCACACAAUUAAAAAAUGCACAGCACAAAAUGACCUCUUUCUUUCUGCUCCGCUCGUGGAACUGAGUCGCUUUAAGAUUUGUUUUUCGGUCUAUAUUAAUAUUUAUGUUGGCGCUGUAAACAAAAUUCAUAAAAAUCAGCAAAUUAAAGUGUGAUGAGCGAAUGUAACUUUUGAUUUUCAGGUUUUGUGCCGUUGCACGUUCACUGUGCAGCUCCGGUUCUCAGUCUCGGGGAGAGGCUCACCUCAGCAGACCACCCUGGAAACGGGGCGUUACAGUACAAAAGCUCGCCUCCUGAUGGACUCGAAGCACGGGGAUUGGGUCCAUGGAGACUUCAGAUGGUGCAUAACGCCCCGCAGCCUCUCACUGUGGGGCUUUGGUAGAAGUUCAGCACACGGCUGUUUAGAAUGAAUCCUGAAGACACACACCCCACCCUUGCUCCAGUCUGCAUGGGCCGUCUCCACAAUAGCCUGAUGACCUGAGAUCAGGAAGCAUUACAUUGAUAAGACGUGAUUUCAGAGCAGCUUUGACUGGUUCCUCAGGGUGCGCACGCGUCUCCUCUGGUGGGAAACAAGCAGAACUUCACUGACUCCCAUGUGCGCAGAGAGGUGACAUCAGAGAGAAGUCAUUUCGUUUCAUCAGGUGCAAUAAAGGGACGUCCGCAAGUGCGCAGCUCCUCGCUCCUCCCGCUUUGCGGACACCGAGGCCCCCAGCAUCAAUAAAGAGCAGAGGGCAUGAGCAAAGUUUCCCAGUUUGUAUAUGGCACACGUGAUAUGUUGCAAAAUGAAUUUCUGACAGUACACUUCCCCUCCUCUGUAACACCCAUCUUUUAAUUUUUCACAAAAGGAUUCACAAACACACGAUGGAGAUGGGGCUGCGAACAAAAAGACACUCCUUCAAUGACAAGUGGCAAGUGCAUCGGCCCCUCCUCCCUUUCAAGUAAUCCCAGCCCUGGCUAUUCAGGCUCUGCCCUGUGGCAGGACCCAACACUUUGUUUUCCAGAAAUAACCAUAGCUCAUCUUUCACAAGAACCCGGCUUGUUAUAUUGAAGAGACAAUAUGUCUGGCAAUCAUGAUGCCGGCUGAAGUUUGGGGUUCGCUCGGUGUUGUUCCCCUCUGCCUCCCCCAGGCUCCGCGACAGGCACAAAGAACGUGUAACCUGACAUCAAAUAUCUUAUUGCAUGACUAUAUCUGCCAGACAGUCACACCUGUCGCCUUGGGGAAAUCACAAUUCUCUACGUGUUUACCCAAGAGCAUCCGAUGCUUUGUCCUAAACAUAUUUCAGUGGACGUGCACACGAUAAAGGUUCAUUAGUUUAUUUCACUAUGCUAUGCUAGCUUUGUAUUUAUUUGUUUUCCACAGCACCCCGAAAAAUCCAGAUUUCCUUCUGUUCCCCAUUGAGUGCAGAGCAGCAAGGCAGGCUCACCACAUCUAAUUAACACCCAAACACACCUUGACAACAUCUGCAUGACAUUCACUCAGCUAAAAUCUUUUUAGAAUAACAAAAAAAGGAAAAAAAGAAUCACACUUCAGCUGCAAAGAGAGGCAUUUUACUUGAUAAAUUUAAGAUAAAAGACAUGGUAGUCAUCUUCUCCCAUGACAUAUUUGUUCUUUAACAACAAAUCAAUGGCUGUGAAAGCUUGGCACCUGAAAACAGAACAAUGGGAAGAUGAAGCGAAGAUUGUCUUCAUUAGGCACAUUAAUAUUCAUAGAAAGUGGAAAAUCUGACUCCACGGAGGACUUGGUAACCUUUUCUCAUAUUAGAUUUUUUUUUCAACUUCUUAACACAAUUAAAGUCCAGCAAUGACUUAAUUAAUGCGGCUUUCUGUCAGGCACUUUAAAGAACUGUCAAUUUGGCCCGGGUCUGCCUGUCAGCGGGGAAGAAAGACAGUCAUCCCACUCUUACAGGAGACAGUCGGAAUCACAGUGCAGAAUAAAGUCACAUUCUCAGACACCUUGCCAAAUUGAUUCUUUUAAGGGUUUUCUUGCAGAUUACCAUUUCUUCCCUCCUGUCUCUUAUUCUGUGUGUCAAAUCUGAGAGAAAAUCUAAAUUCAGUUUUGGGUUACUUACUAUCCUUUCCUAUUGUGCUCGUUGUUGCUGAUACCCUGUUAAAUUAGGAUUUGAAUGAAACAUUUCCUGUAUUUGGCAGCGUCCUCUGAGCUCCAAAUCAAUUACCAACGUACAGUACCUGCACACAGGACAACGCAUCACAGUUACGUUUGCCUCUGAGGUUUAGCAAAAAUUAACCAAUAAAACAAUGUUAGCUCAAUUAUUCGGCUGCAUGAAUUUACAAGUCAUUACAGAUAUUUGUAACGUGCCCUCAUGUCAUUUCUAUCAGUUCUACGUAAUUCGGUUUAUGGCUUUGUGUGUUGAUCCGCCUUGGGUUAAGAGUUGUGCAGUACAAAGCUGGUGCAUUUCCAUCUUUUAAAGCCACAGGCCGUAUGAGCCAGAUGACAGUGCAAAUGGUUGCUGCUAAUGACUGAUUCUCCUCUUGCCUGCGUUUUGAUCAAAAAUAGCUCCUCUUCUUCUCUCCCUCUGAAAUGGCAGUGACCAAAAUUGAGGUAAUGGCCCUUGCUUCAGAAGCUGACGCAGCUGCAGGAUUUGGUAUCACUUUGACUGAGAUCUGUCUCACUUAAGUGAACUGAGAUGCUCAAGAAAUAGAAAAUUGUAGUAUGAGUGCACUGACUUCACCCAAAACAGAAUUAACUAUAAUUCUGUUGCUAUUUCUCCAGAUUUGUAUAACAUUAAUUGUGUUUAAAAUUGUGAAUGGUGGGAAUUUAAUAAGAAAAAUGCAGUGGAAAUCUGACUUUAACAUUUGUUUUUUCUUCUGUCUGUUCCUGGGUGUGAUCGAGUGUCAUUCUGUGUAUUAAUGAACCAAUACCUGUGCUCGUUCCGCAGGAGGUGUAACUGGCUUGGCAGGUGUGCUGCCACUGGGAAACAGAUUAAAAUAGUCAGGGUUCCUUUCAAGGCUCGUACGGAAAACAACGGAGGCUUCACAAGGUAAUCAUGCCAUUAUAUGAGAUGGAGGGACUAAUUGGAAUUAUACUAGAACAGGCAGGAAGCUCAUUAAAACCUUGAGCACUACCUCAUGAUAAACAGUCACUUUAAGGGCUUGCGCUAAUAUGAUGAGGCAAAGUCUUUAUUUCUCUCUUUCCAAUGAACACAUCUGAUGUUUAAGCUCCUUAUACUCACUCAGCAGGUACCGUGUGGAAUGUAAGACUCCUUAAUUGCCCCUGGAAAUUAGUAACAUACUUAUAUAAAGAACUGCUGUCAUUAUGCAGGAACACUGAAUGGGAUCACUUGAGGUUCGUAUCAUUUUGAAUUGAAUAUAAUCCUAUUGUGACAUUCAUAUUACAUAUUAUAAGAUUUAUUUAUUCUAUGAUUACAUUACAAAUUGAAGCACAAUAUAUUAAUUGUUAAACUGUAGCUGCACGCUACAACCCUAUAAGACCUCUCCAGUACAAUACCAUAAUAACACAGUGAGCCGGUUAUGGACUCUGAGACCUGUGAUUAAAAUCAGACUAAUUUUGCUUGAUGAGAAAUUGGCUUUACCCAAAAUAACUUUAUAUCCCCCUGCUUUCCAACCACAGUUCAUUAGCUCCAUCUUUCUCCUGCAGGAUUCUUUGUGCCAUUUUGACUGUAUUCAAAUCUCUUUAAUGCCAUCUCAUGUUUAAAGACUGGCCAUAAAUCCCAUAUCAGUUCUUAAUGACCACUGCCAGCCAGCCGGUAAUAUGUCAUUGUUCGCAGGCGAUCACCCAGCGGGGAAUAGACCAUGCCAGUCUUUGUAAUUGCACACGCAGAAAGAUUUAUAUUGCCAUUAUGCACACCCAUAAGAAAUAAUUCAAACAUAUCAAUGAAAAAAAAACUCCCUGCACAUUGCUGAUCCCCAAAUAUCCUCUGAGCAUCCAGCUAGUGCAAUAUUCUACUGCUUCUGCUAAGAAGACUUUACUGUCUCCUAGUGAAGAGUUCUGAGCACUCAGAUUCCAUAUGUUUAUUUAUUAGCUAUACCGUUUUCCCCUCUGCCUCGGAAUACGAUUCAAAAGCAGCAUGCGACACAACUGUUCGAGUGCCAUGGUGGCUAAAUGGCUGCAAUAUCCAUCGCACAUCAAUCAGCCAGUGCAGAAUGUUUUGGUUUCUCUGCUUUCUCCCUAAUAUCCUAAUGUGCGCAGUCCUUGGAUGGCUCAGAAAUGCGGGGAUGGAAGACGCCGCCAGCGCUCCCCAGCGAUGCCGCAGCGGCUUUGUUGUGUCCCGGCUGCUCCUGAGAGGGGAGGCAGGUGGAGCUGACGCAGGUUUGAUCACCUUGGUGAAUGCGGACCUCGGUGGCUUCUCCCACGUCCGCGGGGAGGACAACAGCAGUCAACUGCAAAAAGGGCCGGGCGACUCGGGCUAAUGAAUUGCCUGGUUGAACAGAAUUACAUCAUGCUUGUUUUCUAUAAAAGGAUUUGACAGGUACUCAAAUAUGCCAGUUGACGUUAUAAUUUAAACAACGACAACCCAUAAGGGAACAGAUAGAAAACGCAACUGUAGAUUGAUAAAAAAUGCAAUGUUGCUCGGAACAUGCUGCAUGUUUACCCAUGAAUAUUAAGUGCGUCGCUGGACGUCGUUUGAAGAAAAACCCACAGCUGUUAAUGCUAGAACAAUGCUGGCCUCUAUUUGUUCUCUUUGUCCCUGGUUAAAGUGGCGCAGACAAAAAGGGGGGAGUUGAAGUGCCCUGCUGAAGUCAGCCAUCAAAAGCAGGCCAGUCAUGCAGACUCCUGUUCCAGAGUCUACAGAGACCGCUCCCAGGGACUCUUUGUUCCUUUUCAACCAGACUGCUGCUGUCUCCGUGCUCAGGGGGCUCACUCACCAGUGACAGCCACAGUCAGAUCAUACCCCCACAAUCAAAUACAGUUUUAUUAGAUCUGUCUUGCAGAGCGGCACACCACUGCAAAAACAUGUUUUGUUCUCUUUAACCUAUUCCACCGGGAACACAAACCAACAGUGACACUGUCAUUUGUGAGCAUUGCAGUAUGACUCCCUUGUGGUACAAAUGUCAGAUUAUACUGUGCAGUACUAGUUAUCCUCCCUAAAUAUAGCCUCUCUGGUAUCGUAGCCUGUCGCAAGAAAUUCAUGACUUCACACACAUGGCCUUUAGUGGAACCCCAGACACUGUCACAAACCUUAAGAAGUUGCCAGGAUGAGACUAAUUGUAAAUUCAUAUGUGUCUGCAAACUCUCCUUGUAAUUCUAAGAAGAGGGGCACCUAUCCCCAGCUUGAUCCGGAUGCCUUUUGCAUAUUUUCAAAUUGAUUUGCAUGAAUGGCCAUCUGUUAUUGUGCUGGCAUUUAAAUGGUGUAUUAGAUUUGUAAUGUAGUAAACCUUUUGAAGUAUUUAAGUAUGUUUCAAACAAUUUCUCAUUUUACUUGAGUUUUUACAUCUCUGUUUACUUUUACUUUACCGCUUUAACAUAUUCUAUACUGUUUUAUUGUUUAUUAUUAUUAUUAUAAUUUAGGCAGCAUUUUGUGGUAAGUGAUGACUUCAGUCUGAGCGUGUCUAUACUGAAUAAAGUGCAGUGCUACCACGGCCACAGCAUGCAGCUGCUACAUCCUGUAGAGAUUCAGAGGAGGACACACGUGACCUUUUCUACAAGACAUGAAGGAUCCUUCAUACUGAAUAAAGGGCCUCUUAUGUGUCAGAAAAAAAAGAACAGAAACACUGGCAUUCACCUUCAAACCAGAAGAGACACGCUAAGGAAACAGGAACAGGACGUGACAUCCCACCAACAAAGAAGACAGAAGUGAAAAACCACAAAGCAUGUGUCCAGCAGGCCAGAGGGAUGAACCAUCACAGUAACAGCUAUGCAUCAAAAUGACUGAAGUCAUUUUUAUUUAUCCAGUAAGAAUGAAGACUGGAACGGGACAGAUGGGCCCGGAACAUCUGGAUGCGGCAGACCCACCGGCACCGCCACCAGUCGCCAGUCUAUGUGUGCCUGUUAACAUUACAAAGGUAUUGAUUCUCACCAUUUAUCACCAUAGCCCUCUGACAGCAGACAAGCACGUAUGUAAAGGCUGACAUGCUGGAUUUCAUGACAGGCUAACAAAGAGUGAUGCCCCCCUGCUGUCUCCCUCUUCUUUCUGUGUAUUUAUAGAAUAGAAUACAAUAGAACAAAUCAUAAUUCUGUCUCCUGGUACCACAUGUAACUCUACUGCUAUACGCAACCAUCCCCAGGCCUCAUUUAUGGACCAACUCACCAGAGAAAGGAUAAGAGAAAUCCCAGUUUGUUUCUCAUAAAUCUUUCAGAUUUAUGAGGGAAGCCCAGCUUCUAAUUGGUGUACCUCUUUGCUACCACUGAUACAGUGUCAGACCUUCACUUAUGGCUGUCAGGUAAACUUUCCAUAUAGUAAGUAUUUCUCCGUUGAAGCAUUUAUUUGAUUUCCCUUUCAGCGCCUCGAAUGACACUCAGCUAAAAGCUGGCACAAUGCGCUUCCCGCACACGACGCUGUCACCAAAGACAAGUAGGGAGAAGCGAGUGUUUUGAGAGUUUGAAACAAAAUAGCUGGUGCAGCAUCCCCGACCCCCCACCACCACCACCACCACCAGCCCCCAGCCCCCAAUCCCAGCGCCCGCCCCCCCUCCGUUUCCGUCUGAAAUCCUUGACACCAGAGGAUUUACAGUGAAGUGAAGUAAAGUGAGGUGGUGUGC